GACGAACGCUGGCGGCGUGCUUAACACAUGCCAGUCGAACGGAAAGGCCCUGCUUUUGUGGGGUGCUCGAGUGGCGAACGGGUGAGUAACACGUGAGUAACCUGCCCUUGACUUUGGGAUAACUUCAGGAAACUGGGGCUAAUACCGGAUAGGAGCUCCUGCUGCAUGGUGGGGGUUGGAAAGUUUCGGCGGUUGGGGAUGGACUCGCGGCUUAUCAGCUUGUUGGUGGGGUAGUGGCUUACCAAGGCUUUGACGGGUAGCCGGCCUGAGAGGGUGACCGGCCACAUUGGGACUGAGAUACGGCCCAGACUCCUACGGGAGGCAGCAGUGGGGAAUAUUGCACAAUGGGCGGAAGCCUGAUGCAGCAACGCCGCGUGCGGGAGGACGGCCUUCGGGUUGUAAACCGCAUUCGCCUGUGACGAAGCGUGAGUGACGGGAAUGGGGAAAGAAGCACCGGCUAACUACGU
rnacentral:rRNA from 1 species